rnacentral:rRNA from 1 species
GGUGAACGCUGGCGGCGUGCUUAACACAUGCAAGUCGAACGAUGAAGCUGGAGCUUGCUCUGGUGGAUUAGUGGCGAACGGGUGCGUAACACGUGAGCAACCUGCCCCUGACUCUGGGAUAACAGCCGGAAACGGCUGCUAAUACCGGAUAGGCACCAUGCACGCAUGUUCUGUGGGGGGAAAGCUUUUUCGGUUGGGGAUGUGCUCGCGGGGUAUCAGCUUGUUGUUGGGGGAAUGGCUCACCAAGGCGUCGACGGGUAGCAGGUCGGAGAGGGUGAUCGGCCACACGGGAGCGGAGCCACGGUCCAGGCGCCUACGGGAGGCAGCAGUGGGGAAUAUUGGACAGUAGGCGGGAACCUGACCCAGCCAGACCGCGUGGGAGAAGAAGGCCUUCGGGUUGGAAAGCCGUUUUGUUGGGAAAGAAAAGCAGCAGGUUAAUACCCCGCGGGUCUGACGGUACCUAAAGAAUAAGCACCGGCUAACUUCGUG